CCUACGGGGGGCAGCAGUCGGGAAUAUUGCGCAAUGGAGGAAACUCUGACGCAGUGACGCCGCGUAUAGGAAGAAGGUUUUCGGAUUGUAAACUAUUGUCGUUAGGGAAGAUAAAAGACUGUACCUAAGGAGGAAGCCCCGGCUAACUAUAUGCCAGCAGCCGCGGUAAUACGUAGGUGGCAAGCGUUAUCCGGAUUUACUGGGUGUAAAGGGCGUGUAGGCGGGAAAGCAAGUCAGAUGUGAAAAUCACGGGCUCAACCUGUGGCCUGCAUUUGAAACUGUUUUUCUUGAGUGCUGGAGAGGCA
rnacentral:rRNA from 1 species